UUGUCAUUGCUGGCGAGCUGUGAGGCGCAGUGCCCAUCCAUCUGCACCCGAGAAUUCCGCCCACUUACGGCUCGCUGCAAGGGAGGCGUCACCAAGAAAUUCAACAACCCCUGUCUCAUGGAAGUGCACAACUGUCAGCAGAAAGACGGUUGCGUGGUGAUGUGAUCCUGUCAGCACAGCUGAUUGUGAAUCCCUUGGAAAGGAGACUUCACUCUGCAUGCUGUUAUAAUUUAUUUUGCGUUGACAUGUUUGUGUCUGAGAUAAAAUUAGGCAAAGAAUUAGAUAUUUCUGUCUCUUAAUGUAUUACUGAUUUAUCCAAAAUAUAUGUUUCCAAAACUA